rnacentral:rRNA from 1 species
ACCCUACGGGAGGCAGCAGUGGGGAAUAUUGCACAAUGGGGGAAACCCUGAUGCAGCGACGCCGCGUGAGUGAAGAAGUAUCUCGGUACGUAAAGCUCUAUCAGCAGGGAAGAAAAUGACGGUACCUGACUAAGAAGCCCCGGCUAACUACGUGCCAGCAGCCGCGGUAAUACGUAGGAUGCGAGCGUUAUCCGGAUUUAUUGGGUUUAAAGGGUGCGCAGGCGGUCUGUUAAGUCAGCGGUCAAAGCCCGGGGCUCAACCCCGGCCCGCCGUUGAAACUGGCAGUCUCGAGUUGGAGAGAAGGA